UACUUAAAAAAAAAAGGAAAAAAAAAUUGGAAAAACACAGAGAAGACUAGCACAGCCCCUGCUGGAGGAUGACACACAAAUUUGGUGAAGUGUUCCAUAUAAUU